CCCGCCGAAUUUAAGCAUAUAAUUCAGCGGAGGAAAAGAAAUCAAAUGAGAUUCCCUGAGUAACGGCGAGUGAAAAGGGAUGAGUCCGGCGCAAAGGUUUUCCAUUGAAAGGUGGAAAGCGGUGCUGCGUAAUGGCUAGAGUCACGAUUAUUUCAACUAAAUCUGCAAGUCCCUCUGACAAGGGCCCUCUUCCCAGAGACGGUUCUAGGCCGGUGGCAGAUCUUGGUUAAUGGAAUAUCGAUUACUGGCUUUAGUCGCGGAUAGAGUCAGAUUGCUUGAGAGUGCAAUCCAAAUUAGGAGGUAAACUCCUCCUAAGACUAAAUACGAUGGUAAUAUCGAUAGCAAACAAGUACCGUGAGGGAAAGUUGCAAAGUACUUUGAAGAGAGAGUUCAAAAGGACGUGAAACCGCUUGUAGAGAAACGGAUAGAACCACGAAGUGUAGCUGAGAGGAGAACUCAGCUCCUCUUGUGUAUUGUUGCCUUUUUCUAUUCAGUGCUAAGAAUGCUUUACAGCGUUCCAAGAUCAGUAGGUUAAGGGGUAACUUUUAGCCUGCCCUUGGAUCUUGGUAUUGAUAGGAGGAGUGCAAUAUGUGCAUGAGGAGUGCAUUUUCUCAACUCUCGUGCUCAAACCACGACCAAUGUGAAGGAGAGUGCAAAACUCUUGUUCAAGUGAUAACAGCAAGGUGUACUAAACACACACCUAAUCAGCAUUUAGUUUUCACAGUUCCCAAACUUUACUAACAACUCAACUAGAAGUAAUAGCAAUAACAAUAACUUUAGUAAUAAUAGAAAUACGCAAAACCAUAAUAAUUACAAUAACUACAGUAAUAACAAUAAUUUCAAUAGAAACUUUGUUAAAUUCAAUAACAAUAACAGAAACUAGCAUCGACCUCAAAGUUGACUUCACUUCUGUUGAGGCACUGCGGAAAAUACCGCUAUGCACUUACAGUGUCUGUACAAUAUCUUCGCAUACAUUCGGGAAUUACCUGAGACUUUGCAGGCAGCCAGAACGAUCUUGUUACCUAAGAAAGCCGAACCAAAAAGGGUUGGAAUUGAAUCCUGAUAAGUGUUGUUCUCUAAUUAUUGUACCAUUA
rnacentral:ncRNA from 1 species